rnacentral:piRNA from 2 species
UAAUUCGUAAACUGGGGAAGAUAGA